AUGGUUUAUUUUAUUAAUUUUAUCAUUAUCAGGAAAGUAUGGAUCCAAAGUUCAAAGCCAUAUCCGAUUAGCUUGUCUCUCAGAAAACUACAAGAAAUGCUGAAGGAUGAUUUACCCAUGGACAAAGAUUGCUUUAAUUUGGUUGUACGGAAGAUUAUGUUUGAUGACAUCCAAACGGCACAAAAAACAAAACAUUCGAUAGCAAAACAUUAUCUCGACAUGAAAUUUUGGGUAUGUUUUUAUAUUUAUUAUAUACUUUCUUUUCUAUAUUCUAAUUUUAAAAUACUUUUCUAA
rnacentral:rRNA from 1 species